UUUUGCUUGUGCAACAACGAUAUUUAGCUAUGCAGCAAUAUAUAUGCACAACAAAAAUGUGCCGUACAACAGCCUUUUUUUUUUUAUACAUAUGACGAUACAUAUACAGCAACAAAGGUACAUAUUUCCAUCUUUGGAGGAGCAAUAGAGUGACUUUUAUUUACAUAGCAGCAACACCACUUCAAAUGGAUAUAGCAUCAACGUGAAUGUCAAUUGUAGUAGCAGCUACAUGAGUAGGUAUUUUACGGAAGAAGAAUAUUUCUUGGCACAUAAGGUAGCCCAUCUUGAAUUUAAGAUAUUCAUCAAAUUGAGUGGAGGUAGCAAUGAAAACUAUAUGCAUCAACGUGUUGUGUUUAUUUCCAAGUCGUCGAAGCCGCUUGUUUCUUAGAAGCUUGAGGAAGAGCGGACAAAUUCCAUCUCAUUUACGGUUAACGUGAGAAUUGGACGGACUGGUUCUGUGGUAGCUAUUUAAAAGGAAGUAUAUAAGACUUGCAGGUUCAAGAAAUGAGACAUGGGAUGAGUGAGUAAGCGAUGAGGUGCAGAUACCCGUUUCGGUGAUCCGCCAGCUUAAGACUCCCUUUCUGCUAUCUUGGAGAGCUCCGUUGUUCCAGAGUUCAGCUUUUGGUACAGACCCUUUUUGAUGUAUACAUGUAUAUGUUGCUUAAGGGUACGACGGGGCCCUGUCCCGUCAUAUUUCACUGUUGAAACUCUUAGAGGUCUGUAGACAUGUAUGUGGGUUGUGUUCAGACGUGAUCAGUUGUGCGUAU